rnacentral:rRNA from 2 species
GAACGAUGAAACUUUACUGACUUCUUCGGAAAGAUUUAAAGCGGAUUAGUGGCGGACGGGUGAGUAACACGUGAGUAACCUGCCUUACACAAGGGGAUAGCCGUUGGAAACGACGAAUAAUACCCUAUGAAACUAUCACUUCGCAUGAAGCGAUAGUCAAAGUGUUAGCGGUGUAAGAUGGACUUGCGUCUGAUUAGCUAGUUGGUGAGAAAAAAAGCCCACCAAGGCAACGAUCAGUAGCCGGCUUGAGAGAGUGUACGGCCACAUUGGGACUGAGACACGGCCCAGACUCCUACGGGAGGCAGCAGUGGGGAAUUUUGCACAAUGGGGGAAACCCUGAUGCAGCGACGCCGCGUGAUUUAGAAGGCCUUCGGGUUGUAAAAAUCUUUUGUAUAGGAAGAAAAUGACAGUACUAUACGAAUAAGGUCCGGCUAAUUACGUGCCAGCAGCCGCGGUAAUACGUAAGGACCGAGCGUUGUCCGGAAUCAUUGGGCGUAAAGGGUACGUAGGCGGGUCAUUAAGUUAGAAGUCAAAGGCUAUAGCUCAACUAUAGUAAGCUUCUAAAACUGGAGACCUUGAGUAAUGGAAGGGAAAGUGGAAUUCCUAGUGUAGCGGUGGAAUGCGCAGAUAUUAGGAGGAAUACCGGUGGCGAAGGCGACUUUCUGGCCAUUAACUGACGCUGAGGUACGAAAGCGUGGGUAGCAAA